GUACUGCUGAGGAGUUCCACAAUAGGACGAAACGGCCGUCCAGUGC
rfam:Schistosoma mattheei strain Denwood, Zambia genome assembly, scaffold: SMTD_contig0000164